rnacentral:rRNA from 1 species
UACGUAGGGUGCAAGCGUUGUCCGGAAUUAUUGGGCGUAAAGAGCUCGUAGGCGGUUUGUUGCGUCGGCUGUGAAAUCCCGAGGCUCAACCUCGGGUCUGCAGUCGAUACGAGCAAACUAGAGUGUUGCAGGGAGACUGGGAAUUCCUGGGUGAUAGCGGUGAAAUGCGCAGACUAUCGGGAAGAACACCCGUGGCGAAGGCGGCUCU